UACGUAGGGGGCAAGCGUUGUCCGGAAUCAUUGGGCGUAAAGCGCGUGUAGGCGGCUUGAUAAGUCUGCUCUGAAAGCCCGGGGCUCAACUCCGGGUCGGCCGUGCGAACUGGGGGACUGGAGCUUGUCAGAGGCAGGCGGAAUUCCGGGUGUAGCGGUGGAAUGCGUAGAGAUCCGGAAGAACACCGGUGGCGAAGGCGGCCUGCUGGGACAGUGCUGACGCUGAGGCGCGACAGCGUGGGGAGCAAACAGG
rnacentral:rRNA from 1 species